rnacentral:lncRNA from 10 species
GCGGGAGCCUGUAAUCCAAGCUACUCAGGAGACUGCGGCAGGGGAAUCGCUUGAAUCCAAGAGGCAGAGGUUGCAGUGAGCUGAGAUCGUGCCACUGCACUCCAGCCUGGAUGACAGAGUGAGGCUGUAACUCAAAAAAAAAAAAAAGACGUGACUAUUGAGCCUCCUAACAACCCUAUAAAGGAGUUCCUAUUUGGCUGGAAAGGAAAAUACGGCACAAAGGAAGUAACACCUGCAGAAGGCCAAGAAGAUUGUUCACAUUACAGCUGACUUUCCCUUGACUCCAAGUCUGAAUUCUCUCCAUUGCACCCCAACGCCCUCCACUGUUAAACUAGAUUCUGCCAGCUUGGCCAAUCUCAAAUCACCGUCACUUGACAAUUUCGUGUUUAAAAGAAACAAACUCUACAACUGCUCAGCAUUCUUCACAAGGAAGGUGUGCCUUCAGCCUCCCGGAAAAGUCUCUCGGCUGGUAUGACCUGGCCUGUUGCCGGGAAAAAGUGAGAUUUGGCAGACACGGGCGUCGGGACAGCCUGCAUGGUUACUGGACUGCAAGGUCUGGCCCCGUCAAAGCAGACAGCUCUAUUAUCCCCACAGCCUGCAGAACUGGGGUCAGGCGUGUCCUGAUGCUGGAUCUCUGCCCUCCUUCUCCCGGUUCUCACCCUGUAGGUGUCGGAUUUGACCAUUUGCACAACAACCCUCACGUUGUCAUUCCCAGAUCCUCAUUGGUGCAUUGUUCUUUUUGUUUAUAGUAAACUUUAUUUUUUUAGAGCAGUUUCAGGUUCACAGCAAAAAGGAGCAGAAAAUACAGAGCAUUCCCAUAUCUCCCCUGCCCUAUAGACACACAGCCUCUCCCAUUGUCAACAUCCCCCACAGAGUGGUCCAUCUGUUACCAUUGAUGAACCUACACUGACACAUCAUCACCCAAAUCCGUGGUUGACACCGGGGUUCACUCUUGGCAUUGUACAUUCUGUGGGCUUGGACAAAUGUAUAAUGAUGUGUCCACCACUGCGGUAUCCCACAGACUAGCUUCACUGUCUUAAAAAUCCUCUAUGCUUGACUGAUUCAUCUCUAAUCUUUUUUUUUACUGUCUCCAUAGUUUUGCCUUUUCCAGAAUGUUAGAGGGUUGGAACCAUAUAGCCUUUCCAAAUUAGCUUCUUUCACUUAGUAAAUAGGUAUGUUCCUUUUGGAGACCGUAUCUCUGGCUCCUGGUUAAAGAGCAGGACUAGCUACAUAAUUCGUGACUGAGUGCAAAAUGAAAAUGUGGGGGCCCCUUGUUCAAAAUUAUUAAGAAUUUCAAGAUGGUGAUAGCAGAGUAUUAAGCCAAGCAUGGGCCUUCUGAGGGCUGGGCCCUGAGAAACAGUGCAGCUGUCAGCCCAUGAAGCCGAC